UACGAAGGGUGCAAGCGUUAGUCGGAAUUACUGGGCGUAAAGCGUGCGUAGGUGGUUUCUUAAGUCCGUUGUGAAAGCCCCGGGCUCAACCUGGGAAUGGCAGUGGAUACUGAGAGGCUAGAGUGUGUCAGAGGAUGGUGGAAUUCCCGGUGUAGCGGUGAAAAUGCGUAGAGAUCGGGAGGAACAUCAGUGGCGAAGGCGGCCAUCUGGGACAACACUGACGCUGAGGCACGAAAAGCGUGGGGGAGCAAACAGGG
rnacentral:rRNA from 1 species